CUCCAGCCAUAUUUGGUACUUAUAUCGGAGGAGGGAAGCAGCCAACUACACCAAAUGUUUCUCUUUUCCCAUGUGGAGUAUAUUACAAAC